GAGUUUGAUCCUGGCUCAGGACGAACGCUGGCGGCGCGCCUAACACAUGCAAGUCGAACGAGCGAGAGAGAGCUUGCUUUCUCGAGCGAGUGGCGAACGGGUGAGUAACGCGUGAGGAACCUGCCUCAAAGAGGGGGACAACAGUUGGAAACGACUGCUAAUACCGCAUAAGCCCACAGCUCGGCAUCGAGCAGAGGGAAAAGGAGCAAUCCGCUUUGAGAUGGCCUCGCGUCCGAUUAGCUAGUUGGUGAGGUAAUGGCCCACCAAGGCGACGAUCGGUAGCCGGACUGAGAGGUUGAACGGCCACAUUGGGACUGAGACACGGCCCAGACUCCUACGGGAGGCAGCAGUGGGGAAUAUUGCACAAUGGGGGAAACCCUGAUGCAGCGACGCCGCGUGGAGGAAGAAGGUCUUCGGAUUGUAAACUCCUGUUGUUGAGGAAGAUAAUGACGGUACUCAACAAGGAAGUGACGGCUAACUACGUGCCAGCAGCCGCGGUAAAACGUAGGUCACAAGCGUUGUCCGGAAUUACUGGGUGUAAAGGGAGCGCAGGCGGGAAGACAAGUUGGAAGUGAAAUCUAUGGGCUCAACCCAUAAACUGCUUUCAAAACUGUUUUUCUUGAGUAGUGCAGAGGUAGGCGGAAUUCCCGGUGUAGCGGUGGAAUGCGUAGAUAUCGGGAGGAACACCAGUGGCGAAGGCGGCCUACUGGGCACCAACUGACGCUGAGGCUCGAAAGUGUGGGUAGCAAACAGGAUUAGAUACCCUGGUAGUCCACACCGUAAACGAUGAUUACUAGGUGUUGGAGGAUUGACCCCUUCAGUGCCGCAGUUAACACAAUAAGUAAUCCACCUGGGGAGUACGACCGCAAGGUUGAAACUCAAAGGAAUUGACGGGGGCCCGCACAAGCAGUGGAGUAUGUGGUUUAAUUCGACGCAACGCGAAGAACCUUACCAAGUCUUGACAUCCCUUGACGAACAUAGAAAUAUGUUUUCUCUUCGGAGCAAGGAGACAGGCGGUGCAUGGUUGUCGUCAGCUCGUGUCGUGAGAUGUUGGGUUAAGUCCCGCAACGAGCGCAACCCUUACUGUCAGUUACUACGCAAGAGGACUUUGGCAGGACUGCCGUUGACAAAACGGAGGAAGGUGGGGAUGACGUCAAAUCAUCAUGCCCUUUAUGACUUGGGCUACAUACGUACUACAAUGGCGUUAAACAAAGAGAAGCAAGACCGCGAGGUGGAGCAAAACUCAGAAACAACGUCCCAGUUCGGACUGCAGGCUGCAACUCGCCUGCACGAAGUCGGAAUUGCUAGUAAUCGUGGAUCAGCAUGCCACGGUGAAUACGUUCCCGGGCCUUGUACACACCGCCCGUC
rnacentral:rRNA from 1 species